rnacentral:rRNA from 1 species
AGCAGCCGCGGUAAUUCCAGCUCCAAUAGCGUAUAUUAAAGUUGUUGCAGUUAAAAAGCUCGUAGUUGAAUUUCGGGAUCAAUAUGUUGGUCGUGCCUUGGUACGUACUAAUUUAUUGGUUUCUUCCUUCUGACGAACCAUGAUGUCAUUAAUUUGGUGUUAUGGGGAAUCAGAACUGUUACUUUGAAAAAAUUAGAGUGUUUAAAGCAGGCUCACGCUUGAAUACAUUAGCAUGGAAUAAUGAAAUAGGACGUUUGAUUCUAUUUUGUUGGUUUCUAGGAUCGACGUAAUGAUUAAUAGGGAUAGUUGGGGGGCAUUAGUAUUCAAUUGUCAGAGGUGAAAUUCUUGGAUUUAUUGAAGACUAACUACUGCGAAAGCAUUUGCCAAGGAUGUUUUCAUUAAUCAAGAACGAAAGUUAGGGGAUCGAAGACGAUCAGAUACCGUCGUAGUCUUAACCAUAAACUAUGCCGACUAGGGAUCGGAUGAUGUUAAUUUUAAUGACUCAUUCGGCGCCUUACGG